rnacentral:lncRNA from 1 species
UCUUCUACACACUAUCACAAUUUUUUGCUCUAGUCUUUGACUCUUUAAACCUGUUGCUACCCUUGCUUAGUGUCUGGGUCAUGAUCUUAUUCUUCUUACUGGCCCUUCACAUAUUAGUUGCUUGCUUAGAGCACUUGUUCCACUCUCUGCCUUGCUUACUCUCAAUACUUGACCCAACCCAACUCCACCCUCUGCUUGCUUCCUGCUCCGUGCUGCGCCCUGAACUGCCGCCAAAGAGACAUCGAACAGAUGCCGAACUGCUACCGAAUCCGCCACUGCCACCUUGUCGCCGUUGCCGCUACUGCCCACCGUCGUCGCCGCCCUAACAUUACUACUGCCCCCGUUGCCGCCGUCGUCCCCGCUAUCUGCUGAUGCCCGCCGCUGUUGUUCGCCGCUACCCGUUGCUGCCACCCUGCGGCUGCCUGCUGCUACCAUCUUAUUGCUAUUCUACUACCUUAAUCUACAACUCUUUCUCC